UAAAAGCCUACCAAGGCAUCGAUCAGUAGCUGGUCUGAGAGGACGACCAGCCACACUGGAACUGAGACACGGUCCAGACUCCUACGGGAGGCAGCAGUGGGGAAUUUUGGACAAUGGGCGAAAGCCUGAUCCAGCAAUGCCGCGUGAGUGAAGAAGGCCUUCGGGUUGUAAAGCUCUUUUGUCAGGGAAGAAACGGUGAAAGCUAAUAUCUUUUGCUAAUGACGGUACCUGAAGAAUAAGCACCGGCUAACUACGUGCCAGCAGCCGCGGUAAUACGUAGGGUGCAAGCGUUAAUCGGAAUUACUGGGCGUAAAGCGUGCGCAGGCGGUUUUGUAAGUCUGAUGUGAAAUCCCCGGGCUCAACCUGGGAAUUGCAUUGGAGACUGCAAGGCUAGAAUCUGGCAGAGGGGGGUAGAAUUCCACGUGUAGCAGUGAAAUGCGUAGAUAUGUGGAGGAACACCGAUGGCGAAGGCAGCCCCCUGGGUCAAGAUUGACGCUCAUGCACGAAAGCGUGGGGAGCAAACAGGAUUAGAUACCCUGGUAGUCCACGCCCUAAACGAUGUCUACUAGUUGUCGGGUCUUAAUUGACUUGGUAACGCAGCUAACGCGUGAAGUAGA
rnacentral:rRNA from 1 species